rnacentral:rRNA from 1 species
CGGGUGAGUAACACGUGGAUAACCUACCUAUAAGACUGGGAUAACUUCGGGAAACCGGAGCUAAUACCGGAUAAUAUUUUGAACCGCAUGGUUCAAAAGUGAAAGACGGUCUUGCUGUCACUUAUAGAUGGAUCCGCGCUGCAUUAGCUAGUUGGUAAGGUAACGGCUUACCAAGGCAACGAUGCAUAGCCGACCUGAGAGGGUGAUCGGCCACACUGGAACUGAGACACGGUCCAGACUCCUACGGGAGGCAGCAGUG